rnacentral:rRNA from 1 species
GGGGGGGGGUGCUAACACAUGCAAGUCGAACGAUGAAGCCCAGCUUGCUCGGGUCGGAUUAGCUGGCGAACGGGUGAGUAACACGUGAGCAACCUGCCCCUGACUCUGGGAUAAGCGCUGGAAACGGCGUCUAAUACUGGAUAUGUCCCGUCACCGCAUGGUGUGCGGAUGGAAAGAUUUUUCGGUUGGGGAUGGGCUCGCGGCCUAUCAGCUUGUUGGUGAGGUAAUGGCUCACCAAGGCGUCGACGGGUAGCCGGCCUGAGAGGGUGACCGGCCACACUGGGACUGAGACACGGCCCAGACUCCUACGGGAGGCAGCAGUGGGGAAUAUUGCACAAUGGGCGAAAGCCUGAUGCAGCGACGCCGCGUGAGGGAUGACGGCCUUCGGGUUGUAAACCUCUUUUAGCAGGGAAGAAGCGAAAGUGACGGUACCUGCAGAAAAAGCACCGGCUAACUACGUGCCAGCAGCCGCGGUAAUACGUAGGGUGCAAGCGUUAUCCGGAAUUAUUGGGCGUAAAGAGCUCGUACGCGGUCUGUCGCGUCUGCUGUGAAAUCCCGAGGCUCAACCUCGGGCUUGCAGUGGGUACGGGCAGACUAGAGUGCGGUAGGGGAGAUUGGAAUUCCUGGUGUAGCGGUGGAAUGCGCAGAUAUCAGGAGGAACACCGAUGGCGAAGGCAGAUCUCUGGGCCGUAACUGACGCUGAGGAGCGAAAGGGUGGGGAGCAAACAGGCUUAGAUACCCUGGUAGUCCACCCCGUAAACGUUGGCAACUAGUUGUGGGGUCCUUUCCACGGAUUCCGUGACGCAGCUAACGCAUUAAGUUCCCCGCCUGGGGAGUACGGCCGCAAGGCUAAAACUCAAAGGAAUUGACGGGGACCCGCACAAGCGGCGAAGCAUGCGGAUUAAUUCAAUGCAACGCGAAGAACCUUACCAAUGCUUGACAUACACGAGAACGGCCCAGAAUGGUCAACUCUUUGGACACUCGUGAACAGGUGGUGCAUGUUUGUCGUCAGCUCGUGUCCUGAGAUGUUGGGUAAGUCCCACAACGACCGCACCCUCGUUCUAUGUGCCACACGUAUGUUGGUACUCUGGUUACUGCGGGGUCACUCGGACAAGGUGGGAUAAGGCAAUCUCAGCCCCUUAUGCUGGGCUUCGCC